rnacentral:rRNA from 1 species
UACGUAGGUGGCAAGCGUUGUCCGGAUUUAUUGGGCUUAAAGGGUGCGUAGGUGGUCUAUUAAGUCAGUGCUGAAAUAUCCCGGCUUAACCGGGAGGGUGGCAUUGAUACUGAUGGACUUGAGUGGAGUUGAGGUAGGCGGAAUUGACGGUGUAGCGGUGAAAUGCUUAGAUAUCGUCAAGAACACCGAUAGCGAAGGCAGCUUACCAAGCUCUAACUGACACUGAUGCACGAAAGUGUGGGGAUCAAAUAGG